GGGGCUGUGGCUCAGUGGCAGGGCAUCUGCUUUGUGUGCAGGAGAUUUCAGGUUCAAUCCCCAGCAUCUCCA